GUGUAUGAAGUUUCCCAAGAUUUGAGAUCAAUUUAGUAAAUUUCAAGACUCAAGAGAUAACUUAGCUAGAAAGGAUCCGUGGGUCAAUAUAAUAUUAUUCAACUAGCUCACAAAUCCUUGAUACAGGAAUAUGUUACCUUUAUAUAUUUAUCUUUGUAAAGAAAAUGUGUUUAUAUACUAAACCCUUAACCUUUAUAUAUUUAUCUUUGUAUAUAUGUAUGUAUUUGAAUGUUGCUAACCAUGUUGUCAUGAGAAUGACAAUGAAAGUGCAGGUAUGUAAGGAUGAAUGCAUAAGAGUCGAAUGUUAGGAUUCGUAGAUCGAAUCUGAUAUUGUAACCGAAAGGGACCCGAACUUGCAUAUAUGUUUGGACAUGAACACCAAGUUUUCGUUAGAUGUUAUUCAGGCCUUUCGUACAAAGUGAUGAUGAUUGAAGAUCGAGUCAGGAUACGGAUAAUACGGAGGACUGGUCACGUAGUUUACUAAAGUUGUGUUUUAUUAAAUGUAAUAAGAAAAAAUGGAAAUGUGGCACCCGAAUUAUAUAUAGGAUGGUUUCUAAGUAUUUUAACUAGUUUUAAUGAAAGAAUUUUCUAAUUUACAA